rnacentral:rRNA from 1 species
CGCUGGCGGUAUGCCUAACACAUGCAAGUCGUACGAGAGUUUUUAACUCAAGUGGCGGACGGGUGAGUAACACGUGAGAAUUUGCCUUUAGGAGGGGGACAACAGCUGGAAACGGUUGCUAAUACCCCAUAUGCUUUCGAGUGAAAUGGAUUUAUCCGCCUAAAGAGAAGCUCGCGGCUGAUUAGCUUGUUGGUAGGGUAAGAGCCUACCAAGGCGACGAUCAGUAUCUGGUUUGAGAGGACGAUCAGACACACUGGAACUGAGACACGGUCCAGACUCCUACGGGAGGCAGCAGUGGGGAAUUUUCCGCAAUGGGCGAAAGCCUGACGGAGCAAUACCGCGUGAGGGAAGACGGCCUAUGGGUUGUAAACCUCUUUUUUCAGGGAGGAAUUUUGACGUGUACCUGAAGAAUAAGCAUCGGCUAACUCCGUGCCAGCAGCCGCGGUAAGACGGAGGAUGCAAGUGUUAUCCGGAAUCACUGGGCGUAAAGCGUCUGUAGGUGGUUAAGCAAGUCAACUGUUAAAUCUUGAGGCUCAACUUCAAAAUCGCAGUCGAAACUGUUUGACUAGAGUAUAGUAGGGGUAAAGGGAAUUUCCAGUGGAGCGGUGAAAUGCGUANAUAUUGGAAAGAACACCGAUGGCGAAGGCACU